rnacentral:pre_miRNA from 17 species
GGCCCCGUGGCGCAGGGCUUGGCGCAGCUGUGAACAGUGCCCGUCGUGUUCACAGUGGCUAAGUUCCGCGCCCCGG